GAACGCGAAAGUCCCGCAAGGGAUAAGUAGAGUGGCAAACGGGUGAGUAACACGUGGGUGACCUGCCUUCGAGUGGGGGAUAACGUCCCGAAAGGGACGCUAAUACCGCAUAACAUCCUGCCUUUGAAGAGGUGGAGAUCAAAGCUGGGGACCGCAAGGCCUGGCGUUCGAAGAGGGGCCCGCGCCUGAUUAGCUAGUUGGUGAGGUAAUGGCCCACCAAGGCUUCGAUCAGUAUCCGGCCUGAGAGGGCGGACGGACACACUGGGACUGAGACACGGCCCAGACUCCUACGGGAGGCAGCAGUGGGGAAUUGUUCGCAAUGGGCGCAAGCCUGACGACGCAACGCCGCGUGGAGGAUGAAGACCUUCGGGUCGUAAACUCCUUUCGAUCGAGACGAAUGGUCUCCGGGUGAACAGCCUGGGGAAGUGACGGUACCGAGAGAAGAAGCCCCGGCUAACUCCGUGCCAGCAGCCGCGGUAAUACGGGGGGGGCAAGCGUUGUUCGGAAUUACUGGGCGUAAAGGGCUCGUAGGCGGCCAACUAAGUCAGACGUGAAAUCCCUCAGCUUAACUGGGGAACUGCGUCUGAUACUGGAUGGCUUGAGAUUGGGAGAGGGAUGCGGAAUUCCAGGUGUAGUGGUGAAAUGCGUAGAUAUCUGGAGGAACACCGGUGGCGAAGGCGACAUCCUGGACCAACACUGACGCUGAAGAGCGAAAGCCAGGGGAGCAAACGGGAAUAGAUACCCCGGUAGUCCUGG
rnacentral:rRNA from 1 species